rnacentral:rRNA from 1 species
UUGGAGGGCAAGUCUGGUGCCAGCAGCCGCGGUAAUUCCAGCUCCAAUAGCGUAUAUUAAAGUUGUUGCAGUUAAAAAGCUCGUAGUUGAAUUUCGGGGUCAGCAGGUUGGACGUGCCAAUGGUAUGAACUGGCCUUGCUGAUUCCUCCCUCUUGAUGAGCCGUAAUGCCAUUAAUUUGGUGUUGCGGGGAAUCAGGACUGUUACUUUGAAAAAAUUAGAGUGUUUAAAGCAGGCAAGCGCUUGAAUACAUUAGCAUGGAAUAAUGAAAUAGGACGUUUGAUCCUAUUUUGUUGGUUUCUAGGAUUGACGUAAUGAUUAAUAGGGAUAGUUGGGGGCAUUAGUAUUCAAUUGUCAGAGGUGAAAUUCUUGGAUUUACUGAAGACUAACUACUGCGAAAGCAUUUGCCAAGGAUGUUUUCAUUAAUCAAGAACGAAAGUUAGGGGAUCGAAGACGAUCAGAUACCGUCGUAGUCUUAACCAUAAACUAUGCCGACUAGGGAUCGGAUGAUGUUAAUUUUUUAAUGACUCAUUCGGCGCCUUACGGGAAAC